AGAGUUUGAUCCUGGCUCAGAUUGAACGCUGGCGGCGUGCCUAAUACAUGCAAGUCGAGCGGUAACAGGUGUAGCAAUACAUGCUGACGAGCGGCGAACGGGUGAGUAACGCUUCGGAAUCUGCCUAGUAGUGGGGAAUAACUAACCGAAAGGUUAGCUAAUGCCGCAUACGAACUACGGUUGAAAGCGGGGGAUCGUAA
rnacentral:rRNA from 1 species